rnacentral:rRNA from 1 species
GAUCAUGGCUCAGGACGAACGCUGGCGGCGUGCCUAACACAUGCAAGUCGAACGGAGCCAUCCGGCAGAACCCUUCGGGGUGACGCUGGUGAAGCUUAGUGGCGGACGGGUGAGUAACGCGUGAGUAACCUACCGGGAAGAGGGGAACAACACACCGAAAGGUGUGCUAAUACCGCAUAUUGCCGAAAUGUCGCAUGGGAUUUCGGUGAAAGAUUUUAUCGCUUCCUGAUGGACUCGCGUCUGAUUAG